GAUGAACGCUAGCUACAGGCUUAACACAUGCAAGUCGAGGGGCAGCAGGGAUUUAGCUUGCUAAAUUCGCUGGCGACCGGCGCACGGGUGCGUAACGCGUAUCCAACUUUCCCGUUACUCUCGGAUAGCCUUCCGAAAGGGAGAUUAAUACGAGAUGGUGUUCAGUUUCCGCAUGUUUGCUGAACUAAAGAUUCAUCGGUAACGGAUAGGGAUGCGUGACAUUAGAUAGUUGGCGGGGUAACGGCCCACCAAGUCAACGAUGUCUAGGGGUUCUGAGAGGAAGGUCCCCCACACUGGAACUGAGACACGGUCCAGACUCCUACGGGAGGCAGCAGUGAGGAAUAUUGGUCAAUGGUCUGACGACUGAACCAGCCAUGCCGCGUGAAGGAUACGGCCCUAUGGGUCUUAAACUUCUUUUGUAAGGGAGCAAUAAGCGCCACGUGUGGCGUGAUGAGAGUACCUUACGAAUAAGCAUCGGCUAACUCCGUGCCAGCAG
rnacentral:rRNA from 1 species